UGCUUUGCAGAGUGGCAGUAUUGUAGCCAAUGAGGUUUAUCUGAGGCGCAAUUAUUGCUAAUUGUAAUGUCCAUACCUAAUGAAAGUAUUAAUUAGUAGAUCAAUUUUGCAUUCUAAUUUUCAACUCUUUAUUCACCAAG